GGGUGAUUAGAUAAUUGGUACCGACGAUCACUAAUUAGGGCGAGGGAGUGAUUCUGGUACGUAAAGCUAAUAUAGAGACACAGUGCGAGCACUUCUGACGUACGCACUAGCUGAGCUGGAGAACAGAUAAACCUGUAUCAGCGUACAGAUCAGUUGAGUGUAGCUCGUCGCGCUACGCAUAGAUCGCUGGAGACGUCGCAGUUAAACUCAAGAAUGACGGGCCCGCACAGCAGCGGAGCAUGUGGUUAAUUCGAAGCAACGCGAAGAACCUUACCUAGACUUGACAUCUCCUGAAUUACCCGUAAUUGGGGAAGUCGCUUCGGCGACAGGAAGACAGGUGGUGCAUGGUUGUCGUCAGCUCGUGUCGUGAGAUGUUGGGUUAAGUCCCGCAACGAGCGCAACCCUUAUUGUUAGUUGCCAUCAUUUAGUUGGGCACUCUAGCGAGACUGCCCGGGUUAACCGGGAGGAAGGUGGGGAUGACGUCAAAUCAUCAUGCCCCUUAUGUCUAGGGCUACACACGUGCUACAAUGGCAAGUACAAAGAGAAGCAAGACCGCGAGGUGGAGCCAAACUAUAAAACUUGUCUCAGUUCGGAUUGCAGGCUGAAACUCGCCUGCAUGAAGCUGGAGUUGCUAGUAAUCGCGAAUCAGCAUGUCGCGGUGAAAUACGUUCCCGGGCCUUGUACACACCCCCCGUG
rnacentral:rRNA from 1 species